AUAAGUGGGUCCCAAAUGUUUCUGGAUGUAUAUACCAUCCUCGCCGUUUUGAGGUCGCAGGCAUGAUGUGGACCAAUCACAAAACCCAUCUAUUUGCUUUGCCUUAUUGUGGCUUCUGUUCCCAGUACCCUUUAGUGUGUACCUUAAUUACUUGUGUAAUAUUCUGGUAUUGACCAUCGCAUUGUUAUUGACCCUGCGUUUAUUUUUAACCCUUUCCUGUGUUGUUAGACUGAUUACCGUGUGACUGACUCUGACUAGUUCUUAUUUUCGCUUUCUCUCUGUUACCCUGACCUCGGCUUGUUUGUGACUACGCUUUUAUCUCUAACGUUACGUCCGGCCAUUCUAAGGCUCGGUAAUACAUUAUUUCC